rnacentral:rRNA from 1 species
UACAGAGGUCUCAAGCGUUGUUCGGAUUCAUUGGGCGUAAAGGGUGCGUAGGCGGGCAGGUAAGUCCGGGGUGAAAUCUCUGAGCUUAACUCAGAAACUGCCAUGGAUACUAUUUGUCUUGAAUAUUGUGGAGGUAAGCGGAAUAUGUCAUGUAGCGGUGAAAUGCCUAGAUAUGACAUAGAACACCAAUUGCGAAGGCAGCUUACUACACAGUUAUUGACGCUGAGGCACGAAAGCGUGGGGAUCAAACAGG